GGAUGACUCUGCAUCCCCUGAAGGGGUGGGACCUCAGGUGGAAGGGGCGGGGCAGAGGCAGUCACCCCUCAGCCAUGCCUAGACUGUGGUGCUAGUCUCCAUUCUCUGCUCUCAGAGCCACGUGGCGUGGCACUCCAGUGCACUGGCAUCAAUUUAGAAAUAGCAGCAGCAGUGGCUGGGAGCUCUGGUCCACUUUGAAUCGCCGGGCCUCAGGGCAACUACCCCGCCCCUCUGGUGGCAGGUCCGUGUAUUAUAUUCAUUUAUAAAUUGCUCCUCAAUUUAUCAGGCUGCAGAUCUGGGAACCCUUUACCAGGAAUAAACUAGAUGUUUUACAGUUCCCAAUAAAAGGAACCAAAACACCGUGCUCCACUGUAUUCCACAUUUUAAGAGAGAAAAGGUAGAUCUAGCCAUUUGACUCGGGGACAGAUAUUUUAAGGCUUGUAGGUACCUUAGGAUGCAGAAAGGUGCCUACGGAGAUUUUCAAAUGUACCUAGGUAUCUAAUGCCCAUUGAUUUCUGCAUCCUUAGAACCUUUAAAAAUAGGUCCCUAAAAGCCCAGGGUUUCAUGGUUCAUGACUGGAAAGGCCUUCUCAAAGAGAUGCAUUUUAUAGCUCUUUCUGAGAGACCACGUUUGCUUUUAGGCUUGUUUCUAGUGGGAGUGUGUUCCAGAGGUGAAGGUCCUGCUGUCAGAUCCUGUGAGUUUUGCCAUGGGGAUAGUAAGAGAGAGGUCAGAAAUGAAGAUGGCCAUUUAGCAUGUUGUCAAUAAAUAGCACUUCGCAUUUCACUCUGGAGUCUCCAGGCAGCCACUCAGAGAGCAGGGUAUAAAUACACCAUGCUUUCACUGGCCCACGUCACUCGGAAGGCAAGAACCCUUUUAGUAUUACCCUCCCACACUGUUCAUCAGGCAAUGAGUAAGGACCUAGCCACAUUGCUAGGUCUCACAGUCAAGUUAAGAACUUCUCAUAUAAUGCUCCUUUUCUGGGGAGUGACUAUUCCAAAGAAAGCCAUAUCAAUGUAAUAAAAGAACAUGCUAUGGCUGCUAUAUUUCCAUUGCCUUCUUCAAUUCAUUUACAUAUUGACCUACAGGCACCUCUUAAUGAUACUUUAACUGAGCCACGUUGUCUUUGGCUACUCUGCAGCAGAAGAUGCAAGCAGCUUUCUACUUCUGUCUGUUGUGCCCUUGGCCAGUAGAUGACCACAGUAGUAGCACUCCUGCCCCCUAGAGAAAAAAAAUCCAGCUGAAGAAAAGUAUAAGCCUUUAAGUACAACUGACUCCAAUGGACAUUCAGUGAAGGUGAAGGUGGUGAGGACCAUUAACACCAUCCUUCUGUGCCGGCUCAUCCUCCUGGAUGAUGUGGACCUCAUAGUUGCUGGCUUUGCCACUGUGGGCUUCCCCAACUGCAGGAGGGCCAUUGAUGGCACCCACAUCCUCAUCCGGGCCCCAGAUCAGCAGGCAUCGGACUACAUUAACCACAAGGUGUACUUUUCUAUAGUCCUGCAGGCUCUCGUGGACCACCAAGGCAGUUUCACAAACAGCAACUUUAGGUGGUUGGGGAAGGUGCAUGAAGCCCGCAUCUUCCACAACUCCAGCCUCUAUGACAAGCUGCACAGUGGCACUUUUUUCCCCAAAUCACAACAUCAGGGUUGGGGACGUGGACGUGCCCAUAUGCAUAGCGGGGGAUUCAGCCUACCCUUUUCUCCCCUGGUUGAUGAAGCCCUACACAGGACACCUGGACCAAAGCAAAGAACAUUUCAAUGAAAGGCUCAGCAGGGUCCACAUUGCACCUUUGAGCCUUUGAAAGAGAGGUUCCACUGCCUCCUCACCUACCUUGACUUCAGUAAGCGGAAUGUCCCUCAAGUGGUUGCAGCCUGUUGUGUUCUGCAUAAUAUAUGCAAGAACAAGAGGGAGAUGUUCCUGCUAGGGUGGGAGGCAGAGGUCGAGCAGCCUGGCAGAGCCUUUGAACAGCCAUAUAUGGUUGCCAUCUGGCAGGCCUAUCAAAGGGCUUUGCACAUCCAACAGGCCCUGAGAGAGAGUUUCACACAAGGAGCCCAAUGACGCUCUCCCCUGGGCCUCCCUACAAGGGUCCUGUGAAUUGCCCUUUUCUUUCUUCCCCCCUCCCU